UAAAUAUCUGGUUUAUUUUUAUAAAGAGUUGUUGUCACGAAUAACUUGUGGUUUUUCAUGUAAGUUUGAACUUUGAAGACACUGUUGAGGCCCGAGUUUGUCUGCAAACUCCCAAUUGAGGGCCCAGAAGACAUUUUUCUGGGCUAGGUCAUCGGUCCAGCUGAUUUAUUUUCAGAGUCAUGAAAGGUCCAUUGGGCUGCAGAAACAAAAUAAUGCUUUGAUUUGAGAGACUUCAGGAGACAAUGAAAUCCUAUUUCUUUCUCUCUCUUUCUUUAUAUUGUAUGGUAUAAUUCUAUUGAAAUUGUGGCAAAAAAAAUUUGGCACGAACUUUGAUUAGCACAGUAGAAUAUUAUGCUGUAGUGCUAUUUUGUUUACAUUUGAAAUCUGUCGAUAUCAACUUUGAUCGACGCAGCAAAACAUUUGCAUUACAAUUAAAAUUUUGAUGUAAUAUUUGAAAAGCAGGAACUAAAUUUCGCAGGGACUAACCCUUGAUGAGUAAAAUAUUUGACAUUCAAACCAGAUAUAAGCAGCCUACCAAAACUUAUCUAGAUGCAAUCAUUCAGGUCCCUAAAUCUUAAAUCUCAAGAACGGGACUAGGAUGUGUCGACCUCAGCUGGUACUAAUUAGUCAUUUUCUUAAACAUUUAUUGUUCUAUCAUCACCAGCCUCCUGUAAUUAAUAUGUUAUAAAGUGAUCAGCAAAUAAGCUGAGACUGUUAGCUAGCAAGGCAAGGUCACACUCGGAGCAAGCGAUAGUGUCACGACGUUCAUGCUUAUAAGAUCAGAUCUCUCAAGUGUUUACUUCGAUGUGUUCGUUUUCUUCACGGCAUUAUUAAUUUGCUCUCAUCAUUUUCAGCCACACAUAUUGGCAAGCGAUCCGUGGAAUUUGAUUGAUAUAACAUAAAGAUAAUUACUGAUGACGAGUCAACACUGAACAGCAUCAUCAGCUAGCUGAAGCUGACAAUGGAUAAUUUUGCAGCGCAAGUCCUGACAAUAAUACUCCUAUUACUUCAAUUCAAUACUUAUCCCAUAUUUUAUUUUAUUAUAUUUUUUUUUGUCUCCAAGAGUCAUUGAAAAUUACACACACAUAUAACUCUCAUCAAAACUGCUGCAUGAGUUUCGGCAUGGCAUUCGGGUCCCUCUCUUUGUCAGUGAAAAACUAAGCACUGGGUAGACAAAGAUGUAUCACGAACCAGAAAGUUAAUUCAGAAUCGGUUAUAGGGUAUCUGAGACCUAAUAAUCAAAGAUUCUAAUAAUUGUUCUCAUCUAUUAA
rnacentral:lncRNA from 1 species